UAAAAAGUUAGUUAUAUAUGUCUACCUUGAUCAAGACAGUCUCGUUAUUAUCAUUAUUAAAUAGUAACGUCUACAGUAAUUUAUUAUUAAUCUGUGACUACAGAACAUGGUGUCAGAUUUGGUUUCAGAUCUUGUGUCAGAUCUUGUGUUAGAUUAGGUUUAGAUUAUGUGUCAAAUCUAGUGUCACAUUGCUUUAAAGUGCUGGUAACAGGACGAAAUAUCGUGAAUAUUUGAUUACAACAGUACACAGGUUAUCGCAUGAACAGCUAUCAAUAUUCAAAUGAGACAGACUGAGUCGAGACAGUUUCACAGAUUAAAUCCUACAUAUGUUGUUACCCUACACCAAGUUUUCACAGGAAGAGAGAGAGAGAAGAGAUGAUCAGCACUGCAAGAGUUAAAACAAAGAUUGACAGAGUGAGAAGUCCAAAGAAUACGAGGAUCGUACCAGCACUCACAGUCUGUUUCCAUGCACUCAGGUCUUAGGCUAUUUCAUUGUGUGACAAAAAAUGUAAACAGAAUAAAGGAGCAGGAGGAUAUGAAUAAUAUUCUAAUCACAGUCAUUGCAAUUAGAAAGAAGCAAGCAAACUUGAAUACGGACCAACGUCAGCCUUCUCGGUUUCGCUCCAGGUCCCUACUACAAUCUUCAGGCAACACAAAGGACAACUCCUUAUUUACCAACAAUUAGUACUCUUCCUAAUCUCUUGAUGAAGAUGUAAACACUGUUCUCCCUUGUAUCCCAGCGUCUCCUGUCCUUGUCCAAUAGUGCGCUCCUAGGCACCACUUGCACUGGUGCAAGACAGAGUUUUGUAUUUCAACUUUCUAUAUUAAAUUAUAAUAAAU